rnacentral:misc_RNA from 1 species
CCGAGUUUACAACUCCCAAACCCCUGUGAAUAUACCAUCGUUGCUUCGGCGGAUCACCCCGGGCGCUUCGGCGCCCCGGAUCCAGGUGCCCGCCGGAGGACCCCCAAACUCUUGUUUUAUACAGUAUCUUCUGAGUAACACGAUUAAAUAAAUCA